rnacentral:rRNA from 1 species
UACGGAGGGGGCUAGCGUUGUUCGGAUUUACUGGGCGUAAAGCGCACGUAGGCGGAAUGUUAAGUCAGGGGUGAAAUGCCAGGGCUCAACCUUGGAACUGCCUUUGAUACUGGAGACCUUGAGUCCGGGAGAGGUGAGUGGAAUUGCGAGUGUAGAGGUGAAAUUCGUAGAUAUUCGCAAGAACACCAGUGGCGAAGGCGGCUCACUGGCCCGGAACUGACGCUGAGACGCGAAAGCGUGGGGAGCAAACAGG